AUACGUAGGUGGCGAGCGUUGUCCGGAAUUACUGGGUGUAAAGGGCGUGUAGGCGGGGAUGCAAGUCAGAUGUGAAAUCCCACGGCUCAACUGUGGGGGUGCAUCUGAAACUGUGUUUCUUGAGUGCUGGAGAGGAAAGCGGAAUUCCUAGUGUAGCGGUGAAAUGCGUAGAUAUUAGGAGGAACACCAGUGGCGAAGGCGGCUUUCUGGACAGCAACUGACGCUGAGGCGCGAAAGCGUGGGGAGCAAACAGGAUUAGAUACCCUGGUAGUCCACGCUGUAAACGAUGGAUACUAGGUGUAGGAGGUAUCGACCCCUUCUGUGCCGGAGUUAACACAAUAAGUAUCCCACCUGGGGAGUACGGCCGCAAGGCUGAA
rnacentral:rRNA from 1 species